UUCCCAGACUCCUACGGGAGGCAGCAGUGGGGAAUAUUGCACAAUGGGGGGAACCCUGAUGCAGCGACGCCGCGUGGGUGAAGGAGCACCUCGGUGCGUAAAGCCCUAUCGGCAGGGAAGAAACAGACGGUACCUGACUAAGAAGCCCCGGCUAACUACGUGCCAGCAGCCGCGGUAAUACGUAUGGUGCAAGCGUUAUCCGGAUUUACUGGGCGUAAAGGGAGCGCAGGCGGCGCGCCAAGUCUGAUGUGAAACCCCGGGGCUCAACCCCGGGCAUGCAUUGGAAACUGGCGGGCUGGAGUGCCGGAGAGGUAAGCGGAAUUCCUAGUGUAGCGGUGAAAUGCGUAGAUAUUAGGAGGAACACCAGUGGCGAAGGCGGCUUACUGGACGGCAACUGACGCUGAGGCUCGAAAGCGUGGGGAGCAAACAGGAUUAGAUACCCCAGUA
rnacentral:rRNA from 1 species